rnacentral:rRNA from 1 species
UGGGGAAUUUUGCGCAAUGGGCGAAAGCCUGACGCAGCGACGCCGCGUGGAGGAAGAAGGCCUUUGGGUUGUAAACUCCUUUCGUGAGGGAAAAAGUCUCGAGCAAUCGGGAUGAUGGUACCUCAAGAAGAAGCCACGGCUAACUCUGUGCCAGCAGCCGCGGUAAUACAGAGGUGGCAAGCGUUGUUCGGAUUUACUGGGCUUAAAGGGCGUGUAGGCGUCCUGAUAAGUCAGAUGUGGAAGCCUUGGGCUUAACCCAAGAAGUGCAUUUGAUACUGUCGGGAUUGAGUCGUACAUGGGAGGGCGGAAUUCCUGGUGUAGCGGUGAAAUGCGUAGAUAUCAGGAGGAAGGCCAGUGGUGAAGACGGCCCUCUGGGUAAUGACUGACGCUGAGGCGCGAAAGCGUGGGUAGCAAACAGGAUUAGAUACCCUGGUAGUCCACGCCCUAAACGGUGGGUACUAAGUGUGGGUGGCGAUAGUCAUCCGUGCCAAAGGGAAACCGAUAAGUACCCCGCCUGGGGAGUACGGUCGCAAGGCUA